CGGCCGCCCGCCGUCUCCAGAGGCGCAGGACUGGGUAUCUGACUUGGGCGGGGGCGGGGGCGGGGGCGCUGACGUCAGUCCCCUGCUGAGGGCCAGUGUCUGGGCGGGGAGGCGCCGGCUCAGGCCUGCUAGCCCCUCGGCGGCGGGUGAUGGAUGGCCGGCCUGACUGCUGUGGGCAGGCCGCGUCCACAAGAGCGGCCAGUGUCCAGUCUCCCGCCCGGACUGGCUUCGCGUCGCUACUCAGCUCACGCCAUCGCCCCCGUCGGCUGCUCUUCGCAAACGCUGCUCUCUGUGCCUGCAAACAAACAAGCAUUCCCCAAAGGGACCUGUUGCCUUUGGAUUGAAACUGCAGCAUCGGUCUCCUGGGUCCCCAGCCUGCCAGCCCAUCCUGAAGAUUUUGAACUUGCCACACUCUGUAAUCACGUCUUUGACCAAAGCUCUCAGGGACCCAAAAUAUAGACACCUGCAAAGAAGGUGGAAGUUCCUGGAGUAAGGAGGAAGAGAACUAGCUUGAAGAGGAGAACUAGUCUCAUCUCCCUCUGCACAGAUAUGAAAUCAUCUGAAAGUGAAAGAAAGAAAGAGAGAGAAAGAAGGAAGAAAGAAGAAAAAGCAUUCCAAAUUCAAAGCAGCACAUACUUUCAUCCUCUGCCUCUUGUCUCUGUGAAUUCAUGAAGUAACUCUGAGAAAUAAGAAAGCAUGAGGAGCAGCAGCAGCAGCACCCUGUGAAAUCAGUCACCAGCCAGGAUGUGCUUUGGAAAGUGUCUGCAGCAGCAGCCUAUUGAGGCCAGACAGCACCUGAAGAAUGCCUCUCAGAGAAAGACAUUUCCGCUGUCUUCAGAAGGGAGCGUCCUUUUGUUCUCUUUCCAGCAGGUCACAUGGCCAGUCAGCCUCCUCCAGAGCAGGAGAAAUUCCUCAGGAGUUCCCUUGAAUUGUGCUUCUGUUCUAUAUCAGGCCACAAGUGGUCAGGCUGCACUGUUUACAAGAUACCCUGUGGCUUCUCAGAGUGACCUGGUUUCAGAGAGCAGGUCCCAGAUGAAACAUGAAAGCUGUCCAGGCUUCCAGGACAGCAAAAGGCAUUUGUCUGUGAGGCAAGCCAUUUGAUUUAGAGAAGAUCAAAUGAUCUGUGAAAGGGGCUUGCACAGUGGAGUUCUCUGAUUCAUUAAGGAAUCCAGUGGAAUGUGGUAAUUUGUGCAGGCUAAUCAGGCUCCCUUAAUCCCUCUGCCUGAUUUAAAAAAAAAAAAAUCCUCUGAAUCAUUUGGUACUUAAACAGCACAGGAUCCCAGGAAGAAGACAAGCAAACCUAUAAAUGUCCUUUGCUUCUAGGAGAAAAUCAAUAUCAACAUAGUCCCUUUUUCUUUUGUGUUAUUUUUUUUUCCUGAGAUCAUCUAUAGGCAAAUGCAUUUUAAGUCAUUUUGGCAAGAGAGCAAUUGGACCUUUUCAAUGUUGUUGUUGGAGGAGAGAAAACAACAGUUGAGUAAGAUUUUUAAAAGUUCUGUUAAUGGAGUAGAGCAGAAGUUGUUUUUCUUAAUUGAAAAGUAUGAAGACAGAUUUGAUAACAAUUUUCCCCUUCAUCUCCUCCCUACAUGUUAAAAAUCCAAUUAAUUUUUAAAAAGAAAUUUUAUGAAGGAAUGAAAUAUAUUUCCUUGUACAUGAAGGAAAAGUUUUACUUUGCAUACUGCUUUAAAAUGUGCCUUUCCACCUGUCCUGGGAGUCUAAGGUUCAGGACUGUCUUUGUCACAUGUACACUUAUUUUUGAUGGGUUAAAUGUAAAUGGGAGUAAAUGAUAGAAAAAUGUGAACUGUGUAUACGCUUGGAUCUUAAAAAAGUUUGCGCUCCCCAGUUCCAUGACCCUCAUGGAAGAUGUAGAACCUGAACUUCAUGGGAGAAUGAGAUCAUAAUGUAAAUGAAAGACAUAGAACAUAAGAGAGAUAGAGAUGAAAGGAAAAUGAAACAGGAAAUUCUAGUGGCAAAACUCUGUUCUCAAGUCCCAUUAAAGGAAAACACCAGAAUUAACGAGAGCGUGGAGCCCACUUGAUCCCGUAUUUAUUUUGGAAGAUGUCAGCCUUCCAUGCGCAGACUGGAGGCAGAGAGGAGACUCCAGUUGUGGAGCUGCUGGGCUCCCAUCUGAUGGCCACCAACCUGCAACAUGCAAGGAGUAUAAGCGCUUUUGUUCAUAACUCAUGAAGAAAUUUCUUCCACAUUAAAUAUUUUCAUUUCAUGGUCCUUGAAAAUGAGGUAAGUUUUAAUAUAAUUCUAGGCCUCAAAUUCAACAUAUAUGUUCUCAAUCAGCAAUGAAAGAAUUGGAUUCUCCGUCAAGCUGGCUGUAAACAAGGAUGUCUCUGUUGCACUUUUUAAAAUAUUACUUAUUUCCCCCAAUGGGUGGCUAUUAAUGCAGGACUCUCAGGGAUUCCCUUAGCUGUCUUAAUUUACCAUGGUUAUGAAGUGCUCAGAAGUACCAUGCUGAACCAGAAGAAGAAGACUGUAACAAUAACAUGCCUUUGAAAAGUUUUGAUGUGCUGCACAAUCUCAUUUCAACUGAUCAUCUCAAGCUUCCGGAAAUGCAGGUGGCAAGCAGCAUUAGGAUGAUUAUAUUCUAAAUGUGGUGUUGAGUUAGAGCAAGACUAUAAGAAUUGACCCAAAGUUACAGAAUGGACUUGAGAAUGGAGCUUUGCCACUAGGAUUUCCUGUUUCCUUUUACAUAUUUCAGCAAGCUGAAAGAAAGCCAACAUUCCAUCAGCUUUGUCUUGUUCCUCAUACAGAUGAUA